rnacentral:rRNA from 1 species
GGGGGGACGCAGUAGGAUAGGCGAAGCGUACGAUUGGAUUGUACGUCUAAGCAGUGAGAUUGAGUGUUAGGCAAAUCCGGCACUCUUAAGAUUGAGCUGUGAUGGGGAGAGGAAAUUGUUUCCUCGAGUCGUUGAUUUCACACUGCCGAGAAAAGCCUCUAGAUAGAUAAUAGGUGCCCGUACCGCAAACCGACACAGGUAGUCAAGAUGAGAAUUCUAAGGUGAGCGAGCGAACUCUCGUUAAGGAACUCGGCAAAAUGACCCCGUAACUUCGGGAGAAGGGGUGCUCUUUAGGGUGCAAGCCCAGAAGAGCCGCAGUGAAUAGGCCCAAGCGACUGUUUAUCAAAAACACAGGUCUCUGCUAAACCGUAAGGUGAUGUAUAGGGGCUGACGCCUGCCCGGUGCUGGAAGGUUAAGAGGAGUGGUUAGCUUCUGCGAAGCUACGAAUCGAAGCCCCAGUAAACGGCGGCCGUAACUAUAACGGUCCUAAGGUAGCGAAAUUCCUUGUCGGGUAAGUUCCGACCCGCACGAAAGGCGUAACGAUUUGGGCACUGUCUCAACGAGAGACUCGGUGAAAUCAUAGUACCUGUGAAGAUGCAGGUUACCCGCGACAGGACGGAAAGACCCCGUGGAGCUUUACUGUAGCCUGAUAUUGAAAUUCGGCACAGCUUGUACAGGAUAGGUAGGAGCCUUUGAAACGUGAGCGCUAGCUUACGUGGAGGCGUUGGUGGGAUACUACCCUAGCUGUGUUGGCUUUCUAACCCGCACCACUUAUCGUGGUGGGAGACAGUGUCAGGCGGGCAGUUUGACUGGGGCGGUCGCCUCCUAAAAGGUAACGGAGGCGCUCAAAGG